rnacentral:rRNA from 1 species
CCUAACACAUGCAAGUCGAACGGUAACAGGAAGAAGCUUGCUUCUUUGCUGACGAGUGGCGGACGGGUGAGUAAUGUCUGGGAAACUGCCUGAUGGAGGGGGAUAACUACUGGAAACGGUAGCUAAUACCGCAUAACGUCGCAAGACCAAAGAGGGGGACCUUCGGGCCUCUUGCCAUCGGAUGUGCCCAGAUGGGAUUAGCUAGUAGGUGGGGUAACGGCUCACCUAGGCGACGAUCCCUAGCUGGUCUGAGAGGAUGACCAGCCACACUGGAACUGAGACACGGUCCAGACUCCUACGGGAGGCAGCAGUGGGGAAUAUUGCACAAUGGGCGCAAGCCUGAUGCAGCCAUGCCGCGUGUAUGAAGAAGGCCUUCGGGUUGUAAAGUACUUUCAGCGGGGAGGAAGGGAGUAAAGUUAAUACCUUUGCUCAUUGACGUUACCCGCAGAAGAAGCACCGGCUAACUCCGUGCCAGCAGCCGCGGUAAUACGGAGGGUGCAAGCGUUAAUCGGAAUUACUGGGCGUAAAGCGCACGCAGGCGGUUUGUUAAGUCAGAUGUGAAAUCCCCGGGCUCAACCUGGGAACUGCAUCUGAUACUGGCAAGCUUGAGUCUCGUAGAGGGGGGUAGAAUUCCAGGUGUAGCGGUGAAAUGCGUAGAGAUCUGGAGGAAUACCGGUGGCGAAGGCGGCCCCCUGGACGAAGACUGACGCUCAGGUGCGAAAGCGUGGGGAGCAAACAGGAUUAGAUACCCUGCUAGUCC